AUGCGAUAAGUAAUGUGAAUUGCAGAAUUCAGUGAAUCAUCGAAUCUUUGAACGCACAUUGCGCCCGCCAGUAUCCUGGCGGGCAUGCCUGUUCGAGCGUCAUUUCAACCAUCAAGCCCCCGGCUUGUGUUGGGGACCUGCGGCUGUCCGCAGGCCCUGAAAACCAGUGGCGGGCUCGCUAGUCACACCGAGCGUAGUAGCAUACAUCUCGCUCAGGGCGUGCUGCGGGUUCCGGCCGUUAAACGACCUUCAUAACCCAAGGUUGACCUCGGAUCAGGUAGGAAGACCCGCUGAACUUAA
rnacentral:misc_RNA from 1 species